rnacentral:lncRNA from 1 species
CGGCUGUCGUGGUAAGCCCCUCCUCUGUUCCCUCUGAUGGUAAACUCUGAAUUUGCUUGCUUGCUUUCUUUCUGCAGCAGGCCAAGAAACAAGGAGUGCAUACUUAAUUCAGUUAGUUUUGCAGUAGUUUGGUUGCAGUAGCAGUACUUCAUUCAAGUGAAAAGAUUCAGUUAGUUGUAUCUCUGCAUACUUAAUUCAGUUUGGUUGCAGUAGUUUCUCUCUGAUGGUAGUACUUGUAUCUCUGCAUACUUAAUUAACUGAAUUUGGUUGCAGUAGUUGAUUCAAGUGAAACGAUUCAGUUAGUUUUGCAGUAGUUUUGCUGGAGUAAUAAGGAAAAGUUGCAGUAGUUUGUCAAUGUUAACCUCGGCGUAUCUGCAGUUUCAGUCACUACUUGCUACUCCUACUUAUUACUCCUCGGCGCUGGAGUGCUUCGACGUGUCUGGAGUAUUUUGAGUAGCUAAACAUUUUUGCCUGAAAACUGAAUGUACAAUGUUUCUGUAGAUAAUUUGAUUGAAAAGGGACGGCAUGCUGAGGUGUACAAAGGACAGCUUGCUGAUUGAUAGUUUGUGGCAGUGAAGAGGUUAACAAAAAUACUUAACCAAGCAUGCUGAGGUGAGCAGAGUAGAGACUGUCUACAAUCAUGAUCUAGAGUAGCAUGGAGUAAAAUGUUUGCAAGAGUACAUUUACAGGCAUGAGUACAAUGAAUUAACCAAUUGUUGUCAGUUGAAACUUAAAGUUCAGACAUGAGGUAGUCUUAGAGACCCAUGUACUCCUUGUAUUCAUGUUGUCAGUUGAAGUUGGUAUCUUGCUUGUUUCCAAGUCUUGCGGUUGUACAUGAUGGUUUCAUCAGAUGGAUGUGAACUGAAUGUAUGUCCAGUUUACACCGAUGUAACCUGAUUCUGAAAGAAUGCCACAUACAGAUGGCGUCGACCUUGGCCUCCUCGUCGAUCUGACUCUGCAUUAAGAAAACUUGCUGGCAUCAAGUGUCCCCCUUCCUCCACUGGCAGCCUUCCAUCGAAUUCACAUCAGAAAACUUCAUUCAUUCACCCAGAAAAAAUAACUGACAUUGCCAACAUCUCACAAGAAAGAAGAGAGCAGAGUUGAAGUUGCGAGCCUGUUUACUUGCAGCUACACCUGUGUUCUUCUUCUUCUUCGCAGAAUCAAUCAGGUUUACUUGCAGCCUUACUCACUUUGUGUCUUAGUUAAUCAUAUUCCUCAAUUGAGGAACACCUGGACUUGUCAUUCCGGUCUUGGGAUCAACAGUAGCAUAUGGACUUAUCAUUCUGGUUUUUGGAUGAUUUAGUUAAUCAAAUUGACAUCAAUUGACCUGUUUUUGGAUCAAUUGCAGAUUCUCUUGAUUGGAGUGGAGAGGAGCAGAGACGAGAGGAGCAGCAGAAGUGGACAGCGCAACGGCUGACCUCGAGCUCUUGAUUGGAGUUGGGGGAGGCGGCCGGCGAAGGAUCUGUGGCCAACAGUGAAGGAUCCGAAGCUGUGGCGGAGCAGGCAGCCGGCGGGAAGGGCGGCCGGCGAGGGAGCUGCGGACCGCGGCGGGGAAGGGCGGCCGAUGAGGGAGCUGCGGACCGUGGCGGGGAAGGACGCCAGAGAUGCGGACGAAGGAGGAGCCUGGCGAAAGGGAGCAGCGACGGCGUAGAAGCCUGGCGGAGGGGAGGAGCGACGGAGGAAGACGCCUCCCGAUUGAUUUCAAAUCGGGGGUAGUAUUGUACUUUCACACUGUUUCACCUGGUCGGAACGACGCCCCCAGCGACAAUUAUUUCGGAACGGAGGGAGUAGAUAUGCAAUCGACAAACUGCGGUAAUGACCAAGCAGACCGCAUGCUUACCAAAAAGUUUGCCUCUGCCUCAAAUGACCAACAAAUCACUAUAAGCAAUGUCUACGCGUCCACUCAUCAUGCAGAUGAA